rnacentral:rRNA from 1 species
UACGGAGGGGACUAGCGUUGUUCGGAAUUACUGGGCGUAAAGCGCACGUAGGCGGAUUUGUAAGUCAGGGGUGAAAUCCCGGGGCUCAACCUCGGAACUGCCUUUGAUACUGCAAAUCUCGAGUCCGGAAGAGGUGAGUGGAAUUCCUAGUGUAGAGGUGAAAUUCGUAGAUAUUAGGAAGAACACCGGUGGCGAAGGCGGCUCAUUGGUCCGGUACUGACGCUGAGGUGCGAAAGCGUGGGGAGCAAACAGG